rnacentral:tRNA from 1 species
UGAUCCGUGGUGUAAUGGCAGCACGUGAGACUUUGGUUCUGAAAGUCCCGGUUCGAGCCCGGGCGGAUCAA